AAGCAGGCAGAAUGUGGCUGCCCGUCAUUGAAUAAAUGGCGGGAGGAAAGUCCGGGCUCCAGAGGAUAACGUAAUGGGUAAUCCCCAUCUCCGCCACAAAACAUCGGCGGACGGAUCAGAGCCACAGAGACGAGUAAGGGCGAAAACCCUGAGAUGAAACGCGGCAAUCUCUACGCGGAGCAAAGCACAAAAGUCCCGCCCACUCUACUUCAUUGUAGAUUAAGGGCUAUCCGCUUGAAAAUCCCGAAAGUGAUUUCGGGAAAGGGCGGGAGGGUAAGCUGCUAAAGUUCUCGCGGCAACGCGGGAAUUGAGAGGAAUAGCCACUAACCGGUGUGGAUAAUCACACCAAGACAGAACCCGGCUUAUUCUGCCUGCUUUAUU
rnacentral:RNase_P_RNA from 1 species